ACGGCUCAGUAACACGUGGACAAUCUGCCCUUGGGUCUGGGAUAACUCCGGGAAACUGGAGAUAAUACCAGAUAGGUCAUAGAUGCUGGAAUGCUCUAUGGCCCAAAGCUCCGGCGCCCAAGGAUGAGUCUGCGGCCUAUCAGGUUGUAGUGGGCGUAAUGGACCCACUAGCCUACGACGGGUACGGGUUGUGAGAGCAAGAGCCCGGAGAUGGAUUCUGAGACAUGAAUCCAGGCCCUACGGGGCGCAGCAGGCGCGAAACCUUUACAAUGCGCGCAAGCGCGAUAAGGGGACCUCGAGUGUUCCUACCUAGUAGGAACUGUCCAGUUGUCUAAAAAACAACUGUUAGCAAGAGCCGGGCAAGACCGGUGCCAGCCGCCGCGGUAACACCGGCGGCUCGAGUGGUGACCGCUUUUAUUGGGUCUAAAGGGUCUGUAGCCGGUCUAACAAGUUCUUUGGAAAAUCUGGUCGCUUAACGAUCAGGCUGCUAGGGGAUACUGUUAGACUUGGGACCGGGAGAGGCUAGAGGUACUUUAGGGGUAGGGGUGAAAUCCUGUGAUCCUUAAAGGACCACCAGUGGCGAAGGCGUCUAGCUAGAACGGAUCCGACGGUGAGGGACGAAAGCUCGGGGCACGAACCGGAUUAGAUACCCGGGUAGUCCCAGCCGUAAACGAUGCGAGCUAGGUGUCAGUUUUACUGCGAGUAAAAUUGGUGCCGUAGGGAAGCCGUGAAGCUCGCCACCUGGGAAGUACGGCCGCAAGGCUGAAACUUAAAGGAAUUGGCGGGGGAGCACUACAACGGGUGGAGCCUGCGGUUUAAUU
rnacentral:rRNA from 1 species